rnacentral:pre_miRNA from 1 species
UUAACUCGAAUUUGUUUGGAGUUGGAACGUUUGCUUACGUUUGCCGCUAGGGGCGCUGUUCCAACUUCAUACUGACCUCGGGCUC